UUUCUCAAUUUUUUCUCCAAAUCCUUUCAUGCUCACAACUCUGUCCACCAUCAUUGGAAGGCCCAACGAAGGAUACCACUCCUUUCCAUCCGCUUUCCCAUCACCCAACGGCUGUGGUUUUAGUCGCCCUGCCAAGACGUCCCGAUUCGUUUGCCUACGAAUCCCCAUGCACCAUCCCAGUUUGCAUGUUCUUUUAAUUAAAUUAAAAUUAUAUCCACACACACUGACACACACACACAUACACGGUGCUAUCUUGCCGUCGACCCAUAGCAACUCCAGCACGUCACAUGUGAAAUUCGCCCACCCUGCAAGCGCCCGAGGAGGUCGGCAAAGGGCACCGGCACCACGCGGUCGCGGUUUGGGAAAACUUUUAUCUCUCCCCUGGCGCCACACACAAGGCACGCUGCUACCAUGCAAACGAUCACGAUCCGAAAGGACGGUCACACGUACAACCAUACACACACAAACACACACAAACGCCAUUUCGUUUCGAUGUGGGGACGUUCAUGCGUACGUUCGUCCGUUUCGACCGAGCAAGCCUCCGAGAAGCGCCCACGUACACGUGCUGUGAGGGGUUUUGUAGGUGGGUCAUGUGUGCAGAAACUUUCUACCUCCUUUCUUUCCUCCAAGCAUGUGUGUGUGUGUUUGCCUUUCCCUAAUUGUCAUUCCAUUGCCCACCUCUCUAGGUCCUUCCGUUCCGUUGGCCGUUGUCAAAUCCUUCGCCUCCCGCCGUGUCGUCCCCGUCCACGAGUGUGAGGCGUUUUCCUUCAUUUUCAUUUCCCCCCAUCCCACUACAUUGUAGCUCAUUUAUUUGCAUUUAUAUGAAAGCCGGUAUCCUUUCGCUAUGGUAUCUUGCUCUACAAAUACACACUCAUACACACAUGCACACACACUCAAUAACGUACGCAAAAGCCCAGGAAUUUCGUUCGUUUCGUUGUCACCGUUCUCUUGAGCUGCUUCCAAAAAUUAUCCUCCCGGGACGUCACACACACACACACACACGCGCGAUGUGGCAAGAAAGGGAAGAGAAAGUUUUCCCCAUUGCCCAUCACACCAUAUGGCCUCGCCCUGGAAGAUGCCGGUUGGACGCAGGAUAUUGCGGACGCCCGGACCGACGUUCGGAAACGUCGCACAUAAAAGUUAGACAUUGUUCGCCCCCCUUCACCCAAUCGCGUACGGUGGCGCGGCCAUAUUUGUAUGGCCUCCGCCAUCAACUCGCUUAUCAGCCAGCACAGGGUAGAACCUUUUUAGUUUCGCAAUGUACAUAUGAGUUUGUAUGUGUGGGGGAGCUACGCAGGCGUUAUCCCAUUUGGACGGCUCUUCCUGUCUCGAGCAACGGGACCAUUUCAAGAAGCUCGCCAUUCCGCUCGAUUCGAUUCGACCGAGCCUUCCAAAUAAGGACCUCAAACGGACAUGUAUGCUACCUCCGAGCGUAUGUAUGUGUGUGUCUAUGGUGUUCCACAUAAUCCUUUCGCUACGCCCACAACUCCCACUAGCACAUAAAUUGACUUACCCCGGGUUAAGCCCGGUACAAAAUGCUGCUCCAACUGCUCGAGAACGAACGCCAAAAACUACAACCGCCACGCGCGGCACAAGAAACCCCCAGCCAAAGGCUCUUGAUUAACUUGGCCUCGACGAAAAUUAAUUUAAUUUUUGGCGUUUUAUUAAAAUUAGAAAUUCUGCACUUCUGUCCCGUUCCCGUGUGGGUGUAUGUGUGUGUGUGUGUGACCCGCUGGUGCCGGCCAAAUCCCGGGGACACCGAUUUGGAGCGCCAAUGUGUGGAUCUGAGGGGAAGCGACCAAAUUAUGUGCACGUGUACGGUGGGACUUCUGGUUGGGAAGGGCAGCCACUACUGUAUGCAUGGAGCGGUGAAGUACAUGCCUGAUUUCCGAUGUCUUUUGGGACGCUUUAAUCAGUGCUAAUUGGCCGGAAAUAUUAGUAAGCUGAGUGUUGAUGUGGAUGCAUCUAUUGUGAGCAUGAGUAGAAUCGGAAUCAUCGAGGGAGGGUAGGUUUAAGGUAAGAUGAAACGAAAAUAAGACAUAUUUAAAAGAGGUAAAAUUGAAAUGUAAACACCGCAAAGGUUGUAAGUAGGAAGCAAAACAUAAGCAAUCUUAAUUAACUUACAAUAAAAUCCUUUGAACAACUAAUAAGCUUUUUUGUGUGCAUAAUAUGACAAAUAAAUCGGUUUAUUUUCUGUUGCAUUCAAUUUAAUAUCCAUAGCUUAUUCCUUUAUUAAUGUUUGACAUGAUUUGUUCCAGAUAUACUUUGUAGCUACUUCAAUUAGAGGUUUAUAGACUCUUAUAGACUCUUUGUAUUCGGGUAAGAAUUUCAUCACUUAAAAUAACUAGUUCAGGCUAAGCAAUAAUCAUAAUGGUAAACUUAAACUAACUUAGUUUCUAUCAUUUAUUUCAUUUUCUACUGCUUUGGCGUACGGAGUCAUGCCAUGGACCUUCGGAGUCAUGUUGAUCUAUACAACCAUCCUAGAUAUUGUGUAACUCAAGAAUAUAUGCAUGGUUUUAGGUCUUCUUCUUCUUCUUCUUCAUUGGCACAACAACCGUUGUCGGCCAAUGCCUGCCUGUACCCACUAGUGAAGUGUGCUUGGCUUUCAGUGACUUAUUGUUAACAGCUUGGCUGAUAAGUCCCCGGUCUGACACACAGAUGGCGCCGCUAGUAUUAAAUGCAUAUUAUUUUUAUAUAGUACCAACCUUCAAAUGAUUCGUGUCAAAAUUUGACGUCUAUAUGUCAAUUAGUUUGUGAGACAGAGCGUCUUUUGUCAAGCAACUAUUGUUAUUUUG